CCUGGCGCGCGCGCAGCCGCCCGAGCGGACCGUGGUUCCAGGCCCCAUAAAACGGAUUUACAGCCCCUGCUUAUCUCCGGCCACAGGUUGUGCCUCCUCCGGGGAGACCGGCCCCCGGGAGCAAGUGUCUCCUUGAGAGCGUGGCCACGGCCGAGGGAUCUAUCAGAGAGACAGCCCAAGCCCCGGCUUCGCUCCAGACCGUUCCCACGGCGCCUGUUUUCUGUGAUGCUCUGCGGUGGACCGAGCCACGGGGGACGCGCUGACACACGUUACAGCGUGUGUUUCAAAACAACCCUGAGAGGCAUUCAGAACAAAACAAUUUCUUCCAUCUUUAAGAUGACACAGCAGAGCCUUCAAAGGUGAAGCAACUUACCUGAAAGCGCAGAUAAACCUCCACUGCCGAGGCCACGCGUGUCUCCCCCGCCCCGGAGGCCGUGUCUGGGUUCCCAGCGCAAGCAGACUCCCCAGCUCCGGGGCAUUUAUUCCUAGGGUCGUCCCUCUGCCUGAGCAGACAGAUUUGGUGGACAUUAGAGAGGGACUGUUUCAAGUAAAAGUAUUGUUUUUGAUAACACCUCUGCAUAUGGAAAAGAGAGAAUGCCGCAGAUGAACUCAAGGAGAAUGAAAGUCGGGUGACCCCCAGCCCACAGCCGUGGCUGCGUACCUUCCCAAGUGUUUAUGUCAUAUGGCUCGUCGUGCAUGUUAAUUACACUCUGUGAGUUCGCUUUAGCGCCCUGAUUACGAAGGACAACGUCCCAGGAGCUCAUAUUCUGUGCAGCAGCUCCAAUGGGAGCAGGGCGCUGCCUUGUACGGCUCCAGCAAAAGCAUCUUCUAACCACUCCCCUGCAGUGGGACGCGUAGGUCAUUUCCAAUGGUCUGUGAUGGUUUCAAGUGAAGAGUUGGACAGCCUCGUACCUAAGGUGCACGUCCUUGUUUGCCAGAGCCCUCCACCUGCAGGCAGCCUGGCAGAGAGCCCAGAGGGCUUCAACUUCCAAGAAGUCAGAGCCCAUUGCUACCUCCUGUGUGGAGCGAAGCCAGGAUGCUGUGGCCUUGAACCCCUUUCGGCCAUCUGCUGGUGUGUGGCCAUGGUUAAGCCUCAGUUUCCUUACCUGUGAAGUGGAGUUGUUAAUAACACUGCCUCCCUCUGGCUGGGUGAGGACCAAACCCCAUAGUGGCACAUCUGGGGAUCUCUUUCCGGAUCUCCCUGGAGAAGACGUUAAUGGCCAGACCCAGCCGUCAAACAGCAGGCCUUGAGGCAGAGCUACAAAGUGCGGAGGACAGUAUCAAAUGAGAUUCAGGAUCAGAUAAGAAAGACCAAAGGGAGAGAAAGGAAGCAGUGAGGGCAGAGGGGCUGGUGUUUUGCCUCCAGGUCGUAGGACACGCUGGGAUGCCCCACGCGCUGGAACAAAAAAGGAAACAGAAGCUCUGACUAUAGAGGCACAGAGAAGCCUGGCUACAGGCUUGUUGGCGACAUGUCCCUCCAUCUCGGGGGCCAGGGAGCCCCUUGAUGCCUGUGAUCCUGUUUCCAACUGCAUCCCACUCAACUUUGGUGGCUGUUCUGCCUGCCCUGCCGCUGGCCUGGAGUGUCUCGAGGACGAGGGCCACAUUGGAGCCAUUUCUCUGUUGCCUGAGUCCCCAUGCCCUGCCUGGCUCAGAGUCAGUGGCUAGAAUGAAUGAAUGAGUGAGUGUUUCGGGUGGAAUUUAGAGACUUUGAUCAGGAGCACCAGUCAGUCACAAGGAUACGCAACAGGGGAUGCUGCCCCGGCUGAUCGUCAGAGAUCUGGGGGAUGGAGGAGACGUGCAAGGCAGGGCCACAUGAAGCAGUACCAGGGUUGGUCAGGAGGUGGAGGGAAUGGGGGUGGGGUGGGCAAGAGCCUUUACUGAGGGUCCCAUGGGGAGGAACACGGAGGCAGGGUACACAGGCUUGGGAGCGGCUGGUCUGAAUAACUUCAGUAUGCUCCAGGGCUCUGGAGCUGUCCCCCGCAGUCUGGUACCUGGCCCAGGGGUGGUGGGGCGUGGGGGCGAUGACCUUGAAAGUAAGUGCCAGAUGGAGGACGGGGGUGGGAGUGGGCUCUGGAUUAGAUGACUUGUAGGAACUGGCCAGUCCUGGCAGGGGCAGUCCCUCCAGGGUCAGCAAGACCCCAGAGGUCAAAGCAUGAGAACACAGCAAAUAAAAGACACGGUUAACACACUGUGAGAUCCAAUGCAAAACGGGGCUCAGGAAUCAGCAGAGUUUAAACCCCAGCUCCAUCUCUCACGAGCUGUGUGACUUUUAGCCAGUUACUUAGCCUCCUUUGGCUGCAGUGAGGACUGAGGCAGCUGCCUCCAGUGGUCUAUGAAGCGGGGCCAGCGGGGCAGCUGCCGCUGGCACCGACCGGUAAGGUCAUGAAAGCAUCACUCUCGUAAAUCAGAAGCCUGGGCACUUAGUGAAGGUCUCUGCACAGGAGUCCGUGCAGAGCUGGCAGACUGGGAACUAAGCCCUGGUCCUGCUAAAGUGGGUCCUGCCCGGAGUGGAAAUAAACUCAGGUCUCUCCCCAGAGAUGCCCCACUCCUCUGGGUAUUUCUGCCCCAGGCUCUCCCAUCUGUAUCAGCACUCCAGCCAAAAAAAGGGGGUGUGAGGUUGCCGACCCCAGCCAGCUGAGAUCCAGAAACAGAAUGAGGUAUUAUGUAGGACUGCUUGCCCCAAACGAGGGCUUUAUUUUAUUAUCUACAUUUUAAACUCUUUAAUAUGCCUCCCAAGAUGCUGUCUGGUUCGGAAAAUCGCCUAUAAUAAAUGCACAUAAUAAAUCUCUUAUUUUGAA